GAUGAAGAACGUAGCGAAAUGCGAUAAGUAGUGUGAAUUGCAGAAUUCAGUGAAUCAUCGAAUCUUUGAACGCACAUUGCGCCCCUUGGUAUUCCAUGGGGCAUGCCUGUUCGAGCGUCAUUUGUACCUUCAAGCUCUGCUUGGUGUUGGGUGUUUGUCUCGCCUCUGCGUGUAGACUCGCCUCAAAACAAUUGGCAGCCGGCGUAUUGAUUUCGGAGCGCAGUACAUCUAGCGCUUUGCACUCAUAACGACGACGUCCAAAAGUACAUUUUUACACUCUUGACCUCGGAUCAGGUAGGGAUACCCGCUGAACUUAAGCAUAUCAAUAAGCGGAGGA
rnacentral:misc_RNA from 1 species